rnacentral:pre_miRNA from 1 species
AGCAUUGAGUAACCCUCAAAGGCUUCCACGGCACCAAGUUACAUGUAAAUGUGAAGUCGUGGAAGUGCUUUUUGGGUUUCUCAAGUC